AUUUCUCUCUAUUUGUGCAUGAAGUUUGACAAGCCUGACAUAACGCAUUGGAGAGUACAAGAAUCAAGCAACACAGUUUAAUCCUUUGCUGAAGUCUAAGUUUCUAAGAAAAACAAAGGAUAACUUUUCAAGCAUAUUGAUACAGUGGCUGAAUUUUCACUAGCUACGUCUGUAAGCUGUUCCUAAAAAAUAUAAUUUUUCUCCUCAGUACACAGCUCCACUUUGAAGCACUAGUGAUCACAUUCUUGCCUUUCAUAGUUGUCUUGAGGAAGAUGAAGCAGUAGCUUAACUUUACUUGCUUUGCAUGAGUAAUUCCUCACAGAAACAGUUUUAUCAUGUGAUACACAUCUUUUAAAAUUCCAUCGUUUUGGGUUUGAUGGCAAAGCCACUCGGCAUAUUUCAGAAUAACAACCAACGUAAUUACUAGUUCUCAAAUCUAACCACUCUAGGUGAUAAUUUAGCCACUGGAAAUGCGUUUGAGUUUCCUCAGGUCAUGAAAGAACCAUCUCAUUUAAGUUCUAUAUCAACACAAAUCAAGCAAUCAUCCUAAAAUUUGAAUUUAAAAGUUCAAAACUUAAGAUUCCUGGAUGUCGGGAGGGGAAAAAAUAGCAAUAACAGAAUCUAUAACAGCAGUCAUCAUUAUAUGAUCUCAAUGUAACCCCCAGAGGGGGCGAAAGAGUGUGACCAAGGGUUUUGCAAGUCCAAUUCUAAUAAUG
rnacentral:misc_RNA from 1 species